CCUGGUUCCUAUAAAGUUCCCAGGUGUUAAUAUUUUCCACCCCACAGAUGUUCCCAUGUUCCCUCUCUCUUCCCACUUCCUUUCCACACACCUGCAUGUGUACAUUAUCACACCUCCACCAUGUAGCAGGCCAAGACAGAGACACAGGGAAGGGAGCCCUGACAAGGUGCUGUCCUUAAGGGGCCGUGUUUACAGGCAGCUCCAGAAAAUUUUGAAACUUUUGAAAGUAGGUGCAAAUAGGACAUUAGGUGUCACUUAUAAAUUCUUCAGCCUGUGCCACUAAGAACAAGGGCAUUUUCCCUGCACAACCAUAACUUCAUUCUUCUCCUUAAGAACUUUAACAUGAUAUGAUCUAACAAAAGUCCAUAUUCAAAUUUCCUAACUGUCCCAAUUAUGAGCUUUAGAGCAUUAAAAAAAAUCAAGAUUCUACAAUGGUAUUCUUUCCCCACCCCAAACUGGUUGAUUUAGGUCAUAAGCACAGCCUAGAAUGAUCCCGCAUAGUAGAAGUAACACAGGCCACAUUGGAAAUUAAAAAUCCAAUAUGAGGAAGGACCCAAAAUUCCCACUCCUAUUGCCUUGGACAUAGUUGCAAAACACCUUUAUAAGUACCUCCUGUGUUCAACCAUAAUCAAAACUCAAGAUUGCCUGAUUUAGAAACACUGCCCACCCAAACUGGCCGAGGGAGGACCAAGGCAGUACCAAGGCAGUGCCUAGAGGACAAUCUGUAGCUCUAAAUUUUAAUAGGGGAAAAACAAAAGUCCAAAAGGAAAUUAGUAAAGCAAACCAUUCCAGAAAGUAGAAAAAGAACAAUAAAAUGAAUGCACCAAAAGUUGAAAGGAAGCAUCAACCUUAAUAGAGGUUAAUGAGGAAAUUAAGGAAAAGGUGUGGCCAAGGAUAAGAAGAUGGUUCUUGGAGGGAAAUUGUUAUUCUUUUUCAUUUAUCUUCAAAUUUCUCUCUCUCUCUCUCUCUCUCUCUCUCUCUCUCUCUCUCUCACACACACACACACACACACACACACACA
rnacentral:lncRNA from 1 species